rnacentral:rRNA from 1 species
UAAGACGUAGGGGGCGAGCGUUGUCCGGAAUUACUGGGCGUAAAGAGCACGUAGGCGGGACCUUAAGUCAGGUGUGAAAGACCGGGGCCUAACCCCGGGGUGGCACUUGAAACUGGGGUUCUUGAGGGCAGGAGAGGACAGUAGAAUUCCUGGUGUAGCGGUGAAAUGCGUAGAAAUCAGGAGGAAUACCAGUGGCGAAGGCGACUGUCUGGACUGACCCUGACGCUGAGGUGCGAAAGCGUGGGUAGCAAACAGG